CUUUUGUCCUCUGGGAGCUUUCCUUGUUUGGUUUUCGUAGUAAAUCUUACUGCUGCUCAGUGUUUGUGUCUGUGCUGCGUUUGUGAGCUGCAACGCUCACGGUAAAGGUCUACAGCUUCACUCCCGAAGCCAGCGAGACUGUAAAUCCACUGGGAGGGGCAAAGAACUCUGGACGUGCUGCAUUUUUAGGAGCUGUGACACUCACCGCGGAGGUUUGCAGUUUCACUCCUGAAAUCAGUGUAGACCACGAACGCACCAGAAGGAACAAACUCCAGACACACCGUUUUUAGGUAACCGUAACAUGUACCGCGAGGGUCUGCGGCUUCAUUCUUGAAGACGAGACUAAGAACCCACCAACUUCUGGACACAAAACCACCCCAAAAAACUUUAUCUUCUAUUCCGUUGGUCUGCCUAUCUAGAAAGCAAAAUUUCAAAUACUGAGACCGAUAGAUGAAGAUGCUUUCGCUUCUUCCCUGUUUCAUCCAGUUGGGGACUAAGUGUCCUUCGGUUUGGACUGUGCAGCUCGGGUCACCUUCUCUGUGGAACAGCAAGUGAAGAAAGAGGCGCAGAGCCCUGUGUUCCAAACCCUGGAGACAAUUGAGAAAGUGGGAACCCAUUAUUCCCCAAGCCCAGCCAGCAAACCUCACCGAUGAAACAGAUAAGCACUUCCUGCAGGUGGGGCCGACACUGGCCAGGACACAGCCCUCUCUCUCACAGCAGUGUUCCAGGUUGUUUGUGCACAAAAUUUCACAAAGGUCAGAGCUCGUCUCUCCAAACCGAUGAGCUUUGCGGUUAACCUGAAUUCACUGAACUGGGAUUUAUUAUUAUUAUUCUAUUUUACCUCUAACAGAAGUUUAAGGUUCGUGUAAGUUUCGUUCCUCUCUGAUUGUAGGGGAGACGCCCAGAGCGCCAUUUGGAGGAGAGAACCUGGCAUCCUUUCCUUACCUUGAUUUCAGGUACCCAGCUCCUAGCAAAUGUGUCUUCCUCCCAGGGUUCUUUGGGGUAAAGAAUUUGGUGAGAAGGAGCUGAAUGUUAUGGCUGCGUUUCUCAGCCACUUGCUCGGAGCCAAGCAUCCUCUCACCCUUUCUUUCAACUGGUAGCCAGAAAAUACGGGUUGAGCAUCAGGGAUUCUCAACCGUGUCAAGCUCCAGCCCUGCCUGUUGUGACAGACGUUUCCUGAUGCCUGUUGCUCUCUGGAAUGAAGGUCAUGGGCAGUAUUACCCACACAGCCAUUCAAAAUCAGUCGGCUUCGUGACCUGUUGUGAAAGGAUGGCGAUUGCCGUGCCAGCACGUGACAUGGACUCGGAUGCCUGCGCACACAGGUGCACCUUCCAGAAGGUGAGGUCAGCCCGAGCGCCCACCGCCAUGUGAGUGCGCUGCUGCAGUGACCAGUUGCUGGAAUGUUCUGAACAGAGCCCAGUGCCACCCACUUUGAUGUGCGCUAUUGUUAGAUCUCCGGAAAAAUCAGAGUGCAUUAAAUUCCUGCAAAAAUUC
rnacentral:lncRNA from 10 species